GUGCCGUUCGGGUACGGUCGGUGAAAAGGGAAUCGGGUGUAAAUCCCGUGCGGUUAACAGUCGCCGUAUGUAUCCGAAUGUUUUUAUUGUUGACGAAAGUCAGUCAUUGGGAAACCGAGAAGGCAUAGUAAAAAAACAGGGCAACCUGUAGGAUACGAGCCGGAAGACCUGCUUUGA
rnacentral:ncRNA from 1 species